AGGAUGUUGAUGGAUAAGUGUUUCAGGCAGAAUAAUGGCCCUCAAAGAUGUUGACACCAGAAUCUUCAGAACCUUUGCAUAUGUUACCUAACAUGACAAAAGGGACUUUGCUGAUGUGAUUAAGGUUAAGAACUUUGAGAAGGGAAGAUUAUCCUGGAUUAUACAGGUCGACGUUUAUUUCUUUCUGAACUUUCCUGGAGGAUCAUCGGCCAUACUCCAGCAGAAGGGUGGAUUUGAAAAAAUAACGAAGACGUUGGAGAAUUCACAUGCUAUUUUAGCUGGCUCUGUGAUUGCAAUCACACAAAUCAUUACAUUCCAGCGAGAUCCCAUCAACAGAAGGUUUUUCCAUUUCAGUCUGUCAAGUUUUUCAGGCAUGAAUACUGUAAGCAAGAAGAGAAAAGUUACAAUAAAUUGACAUUUAUAGUUGAA
rnacentral:lncRNA from 10 species